UACGUAGGGUCCGAGCGUUGUCCGGAAUUACUGGGCGUAAAGAGCUCGUAGGUGGUUUGUCGCGUUGUUCGUGAAAACUCACAGCUCAGCUGUGGGCGUGCGGGCGAUACGGGCAGACUAGAGUACUGCAGGGGAGACUGGAAUUCCUGGUGUAGCGGUGGAAUGCGCAGAUAUCAGGAGGAACACCGGUGGCGAAGGCGGGUCUCUGGGCAGUAACUGACGCUGAGGAGCGAAAGCGUGGGGAGCGAACAGG
rnacentral:rRNA from 1 species